ensembl:snoRNA
AUUCUUUUGUGGUUCAUAGGCGUGAUGACUGGUUUUUCACUCUUUUGUGUAAGAUGUGCCUCUCUCAAACUUUGUACAGUACCAACACAUUACCUGUCUGACG